CACACCGCCCGUCACACCAUGGGAGUUGGCUUUACCCGAAGGCGGUGCGGCAACCCCCGGACUUGAUCCGGGGGAGCUAGCCGACCACGGUAAGGUCAGCGACUGGGGUG
rnacentral:rRNA from 1 species